ensembl:lncRNA
UUUUUUUUUUUUUUUUUUUUUUUUUUUUUUGAGCUCAGGAGACUGCAAAACUUGAAGCCAGAAAACCUGGGAACUGCUGUAUUUUGUAGGGAACAACCACACUCAGCCUCCUCAAGAUGAGGCAAGGACUUAAAGGCAGCCCAAAUGGAGGGAAAAGUAUAUUUUUUUGGAGCUGGCCAGCUAUGAGGGUAGGUUUAUUUCUACAUCUGAGAAACCUUACAAAGGCUCAUCAGGGUUGUGUGAUGAGAGAAAAGGAACUGGGCAGCCUGGUGAGUAGCCAACCUCAUAUCAAUAUGGUUGAGUGAGCAAAAUCAUGGUCCAGAAUAUCUCCAGCUGUGCCUGACUCAAAAGUUCACCAUCAGAACAGCAAGCAUGCAUGGUGCCAUCUCCUCAGUGACUUCAGAUACCCACAGUCCCCAGCUGAUGACCCCAUUUUCCAGUUCAGUUUUUGUCUUCCAGAGGUUACAAGGCCAGCUGGACAUGGCCAGAGCCAGCCAGGUGCCAGUGAGCACAUGUGCCUCGUGGCCAGUCCAUUCCUCCUCUAGGCAGGGACAGAAUAGCUUGUGUGUGGCCAAAGCAAAGCUGGGGGGCUUAGCACUAGGCUAGAAAUAUUUCUUGAGUGUUCAUAGGAAGAGGCAGCCAGUAAAGCUGCAAGUUCAUCUGUAGUGAAACAGUGCAAGAAUAGACACAGAGCUUCCUGCACCCCUGAGCUCUGCAGUCUGCCCCAGGGCUCCCAGCACAGCCACCUGUGCCAGCUGCAGGCCAGGGGGCUCUGGGCUGCUGCUGGGGCAGGUGCUGUGCCCACUGAGCCGUGGCACUGCCAGGGGGGUGUGCAUGACCCAAGGCUUGGGAUGAAACUGCCAGCUAAUCCCACAGUCAGCCAGGGGAAGCAAGGACCUGCUGCUUAGGAUGGUGGGGAUACAAGCCAGCACCUGUGCAGAAGGCCACCCAGCUCCCAGCAGGCCUCCUGAGCACUAAGGCUGCUGUGGGAGCAGUAAAUAGGACAUCCACCUGCUCUGCCUCACCACUCCAGUGCCAGUGCCUGCUUCUUGCACACUAUUUAUUUUUCCUGACACAGGCAGUGAUCAGAUCAGAGUUGUGCAAUGCUCACCCAUCUUCACCAUAUAAACUCUGGUAAGUGAUGUUAUCCAGAUUUUUUUCCCAUAGAAAACAUUUUCUUCUCAGCCUUUGCAAGGCACUAGGGAAACACAAAAUGAAAAUGAUUUCCUCUGCAUUUUCAUUCCUCCAUGCACUACCAGAGCACUGACCAGCAGUACAAGUGCCCAGCCAUCACUGCAGGCUGGCACAGGAAAGGAGCAGCAGUGCAGGGCACACUUGUGCCUUGCACACUCAUUUCUGAACUUCCCACAGCCAGCCUGGCACCAGGGCUGGGAGCUGCCUCGUCUGCAGGGCUUCUGCACUCUCGAUGCACAACUUUCUGAAAGACUCGGUUCUGUUGAAUGCCUUGCUUUGAGAAGGAGUUGACUUGUGUGGCAAGCACAUUUUUUUCCAUUUCCUUCAGCUUUUACUCAUCCAUCCCUCCUCAGUGUAGGGACUGGCUUUUCUGGAAAGAAAGCCCUACUCACUCAAGCCUGUAACUGCAAUGGAUAAGUGUGAAAUGAAGACCCCGGACUGGCUUAAAAGGAACAUUUUCCAGACCUGAGCUGUGCCCUGUUUCAUCAAUGCCUGCCAUCUGUGGGAGUCCAGGGCUUCCCUCUGGCUGCCCUGGCAGGUCUGGGACCCUGGCAGGGGUCAGGAACCUCCCUGGACAGAGCCCCCAGAGACACUGUCUGUGAUCUCUGUCCAUGGAAAAGAGUUUUCAAUCUUACAGGAUGAAUUACAAGCUCUGAGUGUGUUACAUAAGUAAUAAUUAAGUGUGGCACGGGUGCAAAAGUAAAAUUUUAAGAUUCUAGAUAAAAGGUUCAAAGCGGACAAGAUGGAGGAAAUUGGGUGUGUCUUGUCCUUUUUCUCCUUCUUCAUGCCCUCCAUGUUUCACUGUGGUGUUGGCAUUUUUCUGUUGGUUCAGGCUGGGGACACACUGUCCAACGUAGGUGACAGAUAUUGGCACGUUAUUGUAAAUCCAGCACAGGUAGUUUGUGGUAUUUAAUGUUUGUACCAUCCCACUGAGGGCAGAGCCCCACACGCUGCCCUGCAGGACAGAGCUGCGGCAGGGCAGCAGAACAUGUUAGAGAUAAACAGAAUAAACAACCUUGAAACAGCACAGACCAAUUAUGGCUUCUUCUUUGGCAGUGGGGCUGACAGACAGAGACUUUCUACAAUCUCAGAAUCAUCAAUACCUCAGGUUCCGACAGCCAUCUUUGCACUGGGGGCCUUUCCCCUUUCAGCUCAUGUGCUGCCAAGCACGUUUAGCUGUUUUCAGAGCAGUGCACCAAUAAGGCGCCUCUCAAAGGACUGCAGAGAAGUGGGACCAGUUCUGGUCCCUCACAGCAUGGCCAGAGUGGCUCCUGUCCCAGGGCUGAGGCUGCUUGAGCUGCCAGCUGAGGGCUGUGUCCCACCUGGCCAUGGCAGCCACCACACCCACAGCUCUCCUCUUGCCUGGCUUGGUUCCCCUGUGGUUUCUGCAGGCAGUGGCAUUCCUCCAUCCCAGCCCCAGGGCACUGCCAGGGUGUGCCUGUCCAUGUCCCCAGCCCGUGUCCCCUAACCUGGCACUGAGAUCUGAGGGCAUGAGAACUGCUGUCAGCAGUGCUGCUGUCCCAAGGUCCACACAGCUCCCACCAAAGUCCCAGUUUGAACUAUUGAGUGGCUUAGCAUGGAGAUGAAGUGAGUGAUGCUGAGAAAGAGGGAAAAAUAACUGAAGAAAACGCUGGGAGGGAUCCCCACCUCUGCUUCAGUGUCUCAGUUUGGGCAGUGCUGGUGCUGGCAGGAGAACUGCUGCUCGACAGUGUCAUCUUUGGGUACUUCAUGUCCAUGAAAUGCCAGUACCACUGUUUGCAUUUUCUUUUAUAUGCCUUUUGUGUAUUCUCAGUUCUCGGUAGCAUGCACACUUGUUAUUCCUUAAGUCUGAUAACCUAGCAUAAUCCUGGUGUUUUGCUAGCCCAGGAUACCAAACAUCCUAAAGGCACCUGGAGGCCAGAAAACCCUGAGCUGUCUUGAGAAACCAAGGUUCCCCCUAAGACACAUCCUGUAAACUAGGAUUAGGCCCAUCCAGGGAAGAAUGCUUUGGGAUGGAUGGGAUGCUAUUCAUCAAGCCUCUCAUUAAGGUAACUUUGUUAGAUAGGCUGAUUUGUAGAGGCUAUAAAAUUGUGUACGUGAUCCAUCGAGUGUAUGCAUUUCAGUGUGCUCCACCUUGGCAAAGCGGUGCACCGUAAGGAUCCUCAUUAAAUACCAAGAUGAAGACCUUUUAUCCCUUAACUAUGCCUUGCUCUUAAUUUUAAGACCAAAGAAAAGGCAUCCCAUGAGUUGGACCAGAGGUGUCAGAGUGGAACUUGACUCCUCCUCGGUGUGGUGCCCUCUCUCCCCAUGUGUAUAUAUGAAAAAAAUGUGUGUGUAUUUGUGUAGGCAUUGAUAUCAUAAUGACUUCAUAGCAGCUGUUACACUGCACAUGUGGGUUACUUUAUGAGCUCCAUUUUGUUCUCAUCUCUCCUAAUCUGUCCGGCUGAACACUUUAUUUCAGUAGGCUAGCCAGCCUUUGAGACCUUUGAGAGAGAGAACUUUGUUUUAUGCUGCUGAAGAAAAGGUCCCUUUGUGAAGACAUGGCUUUGUCUGUCCUCCUUUGGAAAAGGCAACUGAGCAAACUUCCUUAUUUAUUCCACUGCAGAAGUGGUCUUUGCCUCAAAGCUAAUUUGCCAUCCUCAAAUCUGGCAUCAGAAGAGAACAGUAAUGGGGGUAAGCUCAAUCAGUUGCAGCUUGUUUCCCCUUUGCAUGUGGAUUAUAUGCCCUUACUAUCAGCAUAUGAUUAAUAUUUAAAAUAGAACCAAUUUAUCCUGCUCUCAGGGUCUGGGAUGCUGCAGAAGGUGGAGUUGCUGCCACAUGCUGCCAGCCCAGCUUUCUCCCCAGGGGGAAAAGCACUCUGGCUUGCUCCUCUGAGAGUGGAAUUCAUCCUCCUUUGUGUGCAGAGAGGUUGUGGUCUUGGAGCCUAAUGGGGGGUGAGAUGCUUAACUCCUUCUGCUAGGUAAGGUUAGUCUAGCCUAGUUCUGGCUGUCUGGCAUAGCCCAAGUGCCUCCACACACAAGUUUGACAAGAGAGGCUUUGGAAAUAAAAACUGCACUUCAUUUGCAUAUAAACAUACUAGCUUUGCACUUCAAACUGAGUGCUAGACAUUUAUUUGAAAUGCUAGAAAGUUCUCUUCCCUUUACCACAGGUGUGUUCCUAUAAAUAGCCUGUAGAGAAAAGCCACAUAACAUAAAAGGGCUCAAAAAAGCAAUUUGCAGGAAAGUGAAAAACCUCAAACAGAUUAAAACCUCUUGAAUGAACUACAGCUAGAGUCGCAGAAACUAUCACAUAACCAAUGCAAACUUUUUUUUUUUUUUUUUAACAAAAUAAAGAUAAGA